rnacentral:rRNA from 1 species
CACGCCCUAAACUAUGAUGACUAGGUGUUGGUCCUUCGGGAUCAGUGCCGUAGCUAACGCGUUAAGUCAUCCGCCUGAGUAGUACGAUCGCAAGAUUAAAACUCAAAUGAAUAGACGGGGGCCCACACAAGCAGUGGAUCAUGCGGUUUAAUUCGAUACUGAACGAGGAACCUUACCCAGACUUGAUAUCUACGAAACCUUUCAGAAAUGAGAGGGUGCCCUCACGGGAAUCGUAAGACAGGUGC